AGAAAAGUGAAUUCUGAGAUUUGAAUAAUGCAUCUGACGUGUGGGAUGACGUCACGACGCACGUAUUUUGAUUUUUACCAGUCGCUCAAGACAGACGGAUUCAGUCCCAAGAGAAAAGUGAAUUCUGAGAUUUGAAUAAUGCAUCUGACGUGUGGGAUGACGUCACGACGCACGUAUUUUGAUUUUUACCAGUCGUUCAAGACAGACGGAUUCAGUCCCAAGAAGUUAAAGUUUUUCAAAGACAUUUGUAGGGAGGACUUUGCAGCUAAUGGUAAGUCAUUUUAAACUCUUAAGAUAUAAUAAUUCAUUCGUAGUAGUAAAUCAAGCUUCAGUUUAGAUAACGUUAUAUACAUAUUGAGGCGGUUUCCCGGACAGGGAUUAGACUAGUCCUAGACUAAAAUAAAUGUAAGAGCUGUCCAAACUGAAAACAACUUGCACUGACAUAUCUUAAAAUACACCAGUGUCCUUUUUUUGCCUCAAAAUGCACACAGGUAAUGUUUUUAUUAAGGCAUGUUUUUUGAAACUAGUUAUAUUUCUUAAUUAAACUAAGGCCUAGUCCAGUUUUAAGCUAAUCCCUUUACAGGAAACCACCCAAUUGUGUGCUUGUUGCAUUUUCUUUCUGACAAGUUUUACAUUUAAAUUUAAUACAAUAAAAUCUUUCUUUAGGAGCUGAAGUAUUUUAUGUAAGGAGGAUUUUGCAGCCCAUAUAGGCAAGUCAUUAUAAUGAAAACUCUUAGGGGUGGUUUCCCGGACAGGGAUUAGCUUUAUCCAGGACUAGACCUUAGUUUAAUUAGGAUAGUUUUAACAAACAUGCCUUACUAAAAACAUUACUUAUGUGCAUUACGAUGUAAAACAAAGGGCACUGAUGUAUUUUAAGAUAUGUCAGAGCAAGUUGUUUUCCGUUUGGACAGCUCUUACAUUUAUUUUAGUCUGGGACUAGUCUAAUUCCUGUCUGGGAAACCGCCCCUUAAUAUAUAUGAUGACAUUUUAGUCAAGCUCUAGUUUAGGGAAAAAUAUAUCUGCUAUACAAUCUCUGCCAGUAAACUAUAGAUUUAAUACGGUAAGUCUUAAAUAAAUGUAAUGUUUUAAUAUUAAACACUUUUUAAUUGAGCUUAUUGUC